AUGAUUUUAGGUGCUUGCACUUGAAAGAUUUAACAUUGAGACGAGUGGCGAACUGGUGAGUAACACGUGGGUAACCUGCCCUUGAAGUAGGGGAUAACACUUGGAAACAGGUGCUAAUACCGUAUAACAACCAAAACCACCUGGUUUUGGUUUAAAAGACGGCUUCGGCUGUCACUUUAGGAUGGACCCGCGGCGUAUUAGCUUGUUGGUAAGGUAACGGCCUACCAAGGCGAUGAUACGUAGCCGACCUGAGAGGGUAAUCGGCCACAUUGGGACUGAGACACGGCCCAAACUCCUACGGGAGGCAGCAGUAGGGAAUCUUCCACAAUGGACGAAAGUCUGAUGGAGCAACGCCGCGUGAGUGAUGAAGGGUUUCGGCUCGUAAAACUCUGUUGUUGGAGAAGAACAGGUGUCAGAGUAACUGUUGACAUCUUGACGGUAUCCAACCAGAAAGCCACGGCUAACUACGUGCCAGCAGCCGCGGUAAUACGUAGGUGGCAAGCGUUGUCCGGAUUUAUUGGGCGUAAAGCGAGCGCAGGCGGUUUUUUAGGUCUGAUGUGAAAGCCUUCGGCUUAACCGGAGAAGUGCAUCGGAAACCGGGAGACUUGAGUGCAGAAGAGGACAGUGGAACUCCAUGUGUAGCGGUGAAAUGCGUAGAUAUAUGGAAGAACACCAGUGGCGAAGGCGGCUGUCUGGUCUGUAACUGACGCUGA
rnacentral:rRNA from 1 species